UAGGGAAUUUUCCACAAUGGACGAAAGUCUGAUGGAGCAACGCCGCGUGAACGAUGAAGGUCUUCGGAUUGUAAAGUUCUGUUGUUAGGGACGAAUAAGUACCGUUCGAAUAGGGCGGUACCUUGACGGUACCUGACGAGAAAGCCACGGCUAACUACGUGCCAGCAGCCGCGGUAAUACGUAGGUGGCAAGCGUUGUCCGGAUUUAUUGGGCGUAAAGCGCGCGCAGGCGGCUAUGUAAGUCUGGUGUUAA
rnacentral:rRNA from 1 species